ACUCUCCAUUGAUGCUACUUAGAGACAAAUAAGCUUAAAUUAGAGACAAAAAAUAUAUGUCCCAAAAUUUAAUAGGGGACGAAAUUUAAUUUUGUCUCCUAUGCAUUUUAGAUUUUGCAAAUAAUUGGUAAAAUUUAAGAGGUUAGUUGCACCGAAUUUCAAAUUUUGGGCGAAAAGAAUUAGGGGUAAAACAUAAUUCCCUAAUUUUGUUAGCGGAUUUUUUUUUUUUUUUCAUCUGGACGGGGUUUGACAAAAGUAAAUAGUGUGCAACAAUUGAUUGGGAUUGAAACGAUGUAGUUUCGAUCUCACAUAUAUUCAGCCUCUCUAUUUAUCUUAGUUUUUUGAACUAUUCGACGAUUACUACUUUGUGAUUUCUCGUACGAACCUCCAAACACCAAUAACUCCUAGCAGCAGUGUCUCUGUCAUGCAAUUCGUCUCAUCUAUCUCGACUGUCUAGUUUUUCUUCUCCUCAUUUAGUACCUUAAAUCUUGAACUAGAGCUUUCAAUCUUGCAGAAUUUCAAUUUUUUUAUUUUUUAUUUUUUAAGUUUUGGUACUGUUAAUCUUUGUUCGUUGAUGUUGUAGUAAGGUUAAAGGCUCGACUAGAAGACACUUGCAUUGUUAACUAAUACUAAGAAUCUAAGAGAACUAUUUUGAAAAUCCGGAUUCUAGAUCAUCUUUUAUAUGAAAGAGUGUUUUUUUGUUGAUGACAUUAUAUGAAAAGAGUUUAAUGUAUUUAGGGUAUUAGAAGUCUUUUAUUUUAAUUACUUUAUCUAUUAAAAAUUAGGUGUUUAUUGGUCAAAAUAUAAUGUUUUACGUAAAUACCCCUCAUAGAUAUACUAUGAAAACCACGUUAAUGGAAGAGGAUAAACAAGUAAAAUUACAAGUAUUAAAAAAAAAUAAAGGAUAUAUUUUGAUCUUUUAUUAAAGUUUUUUUAAUUUUAUUUUUAAUAAAGAUAGAAGGAUAAAAUCUCAUCGGGCAAAACACACAACAGUCGGUGUUCUUGAAAAGGGUCUGGGAGGCCGCCUAGACGGCGCCUAAGCGUUAGGCGUGAUGGCACCGCCCCGACAAUUCUACUCUCUCUCGACUCUCCUCUCACCAGUACUGGCAGCACUUUGCAGUCCCAAGUCCCAACAUCACUCUCUCUCUCCCUCUCCCUCUUCCUCCCUUCCUCCUCCGAUCGGUAAAAACUCGGAACAAAGUCUCUCUCUUUCUUUCAAACCUCUGGUGUUUGCCGGAGUUUCUAUUCAUUUAAUCAUUUAUAACUAUAUGUUGAUUAUCAGGGGUGCCAGGCUUGGCUCAAUAGUCAUCCCACAAGCAGGUUACUCUUUGCUUUGCUUUAUCAGUCUCUAUUUCCAAGCUUUCAGUCCAAAAGACUUGGGCUUUGUUCACCACUUAGUUUAUGACUACUUUAUCCAUCUGAAAUUGUAAUCAUUUCGAUUUCUUACUGAUUUUUUUUGGAUGCCUGAUAUAUGGGCCUGGUCUUGUUUGCACAAAUUUUGAGCUAUUGGCAUGGAUGUUUCGAUUGCUUAAUCAAGUUCGAUUCUUUAUUAUGGUUUUUGAAAUGAUGAACUGAAAGGGGUUAUGGGCUCUGCUCAUCUCUGUGAAACAGUGUUGUAUAGAAAUUUGAAUUAGAAAGCUGGCAGCGUGUACGUGCUUGAGUUGAUGGUAGGAAAGAUUGAAUCUUUUGUGAGAUGUAUGAUAUUAAAGAUGAAAUUUGGUUUGGCUGCAUCAGAUGAAAUCUUUGGGUUUUUGGAGGAAUUCAGUUUGUUCUAUUUUAUCUAUGCUUCAGUUUUGCCACAAGAUUAGUGGCUUCUUGCAGCUUUUUAUAGGCAGUUUGUAAAGAACAGCUGCAUUGUUCUGCGGUUUUGAGGUUCUUAAACACUUGGUUUGAGUAAUUGGUGUUUGCUUCUUCAGCUUUUACCUUCUUUUUUUAAAGGCUAAUUUUGGCUUAGAUAGUAUGGGUAAGUUCCAAUUAUGGAGAUCUUAAGAGUUGACGAGAAAUUCGGUACUAAGCCUUCAUCCCAGUCGGAAGGAGUUGUUCAUUGGCUUCAUACAGGGCUGAGUCACUCCGCUGGUCGUGCUGGAAAACCAAUUGUGAAAUGGAUUCAGAAGUUCCCAGCCGCGUCAAAGACUCAGUUAAGGAAUAAAGUGCGAGAGAUGUCAGAUUUUGUGGAUACCCAUUGGCAGGUUAGUAACUCAUUUACAACUUUCAUUCCCAAAAGUAGGCAUUGGCAUUCUUAUCUGGUAAUGAUUCAAAUCAAACGAGUACUAGGCCUAUCAUCUAGAUUAGAAGUUGCAGCAAGGGCUGGUCCAUGUCAAAUUUUGAGUUUAAGUAUUUAAUUUACCCUAUAUUGAACACUUGUUGAAAUAGUAUAAUAGACCUGGGUCUGAACCUAAGUGGUACUCUAUUAUCUCUUUAUGCAAGAUCUGCUGGAGUAACGUGAUAACAGAGCACAGCCAAGCCAUUUUGAACUCUUUGUACUCAUUUUACUGGAACUUGACAAGAAAUUGGGAGUUGAGGAGAUGAAGAUAACACUCGAGAAAGUGAUGGAUACAGUGACUUGGAUGAAGUUGGAUCAAUAUGUGGCUAGGAGCAUGAAGGUUAAUUAUGUGGUAGGCUCCUACCUUGAUCCCCUUAUAGUUAAGGUAUACUGAUCAGACACAUGUUCAAGGAUAGUCCAUAUGCCUUUGGUUCUCCAUCAAAAGCCGUCUGCAUUAUUGAUCUUAAUUAGUUACAGAUAUUAUUUAUAGUUGAAGACUUGUGAAGCAUAUUAUGAAAGUGCUCAAUUUGUUCAUGUUUGUUGGAUUUGAAAAAAGAGUUGAUGUUAGGCUCUGUUUAUUACUAUUAUCCAUAAUAAAUUCAAAUUUUUGGUUAAAACAAAUUAUAUUUAUAUA